rnacentral:rRNA from 1 species
CCAGACAGCCAGGAUGUUGGCUUAGAAGCAGCCAUCAUUUAAAGAAAGCGUAAUAGCUCACUGGUCGAGUCGGCCUGCGCGGAAGAUGUAACGGGGCUAAACCAUGCACCGAAGCUGCGGCAGCGACGCUGAUGCGUUGUUGGGUAGGGGAGCGUUCUGUAAGCCUGCGAAGGUGUGUCGUGAGGCAUGCUGGAGGUAUCAGAAGUGCGAAUGCUGACAUAAGUAACGAUAAAGCGGGUGAAAAGCCCGCUCGCCGGAAGACCAAGGGUUCCUGUCCAACGUUAAUCGGGGCAGGGUGAGUCGACCCCUAAGGC